rfam:Photobacterium iliopiscarium strain ATCC 51761 CFSAN029430_contig0017, whole genome shotgun sequence.
UAAUUGAAGAGUUUGAUCAUGGCUCAGAUUGAACGCUGGCGGCAGGCCUAACACAUGCAAGUCGAGCGGUAACAGAAAGAAAGCUUGCUUUCUUUGCUGACGAGCGGCGGACGGGUGAGUAAUGCCUGGGAAUAUACC